CUUCCAGAUUUCUGCCUGCAGGAUCUGUUGGAGGUAUCAUUGGCCCAUUUUCAGGUCAGCACAUCUAUAGAACACUGCAUGAAGUGACGGCGAUAAAUUGAAUAGUAUUGCUGUUAGUGUGAAAUGGACUGACUAUAGUGUAAUCAAUGAACAUCUUGGAAGCAUGAACCAGUUCACUAUUGAUAGAUAUGAAGAUAAAGAUGUGGAAUUAAAUCUCCUCAUGUAUAAGCAAUCAACAUGCAUACAAGAACAUGCCCUGGAUGGUCUGCUGACUCAAGAGGACAAGAGACUUGGGAAGCCGACCAGAACCCAUAGAUCCUCAGCGUGGAACAGAACUGCCCUUCUGAAGUAGACGACCCCCAUUUGACUCUCAGGAUCAUAAGGAACAUAGUUAAAAUCAACUGAGCUGCAAAACUGAGCCCUGCCUUGGUCAGCCACUCAUACCUAAUGCUUAAGUGCAGGAUUAAGUCUCUCAUUCUUGAGUUAGUUUGAUAUGAAGAUAUAUUUUUGUUUGUUUCUUUUGUUUUGGCAAUAAUUAAUACAAGCUACUUUUAAAAACAGAUAUUCCCAU